CCUACGGGUGGCAGCAGUGAGGAAUAUUGGUCAAUGGUCGGGAGACUGAACCAGCCAAGCCGCGUGAGGGAGGAAGGUACACAGUAUCGUAAACUUCUUUUGUCAGGGAACAAAAACUGGCACGAGCUCCCGGCUGAGUGUACCUGAAGAAAAAGCAUCGGCUAACUCCGUGCCAGCAGCCGCGGUAAUACGGAGGAUGCGAGCGUUAUCCGGAUUUCUUGGGUUAAAAGGGUGCGCAGGCGGACUGUAAAGUCAGCGGGAAAAGCCCGGGGCUCAACCCCGGACAGCCGUUGAAACUGGCUGUCUCGAGUUGGAGAGAGGUAUGCGGAAUGCGCAGUGUAGCGGUGAAAUGCUUAGAUAUCGCGCAGAACUCCGAUUGCGAAGGCAGCAUACCGGCU
rnacentral:rRNA from 1 species